rnacentral:rRNA from 1 species
AGCAGCCGCGGUAAUUCCAGCUCCAAUAGCGUAUAUUAAAGUUGUUGCAGUUAAAAAGCUCGUAGUUGAAUUUCGGGAUCGAAUUGUUGGUCGUGCUUCGGUACGCACUGGCAUUAUCGGUUUCUACCUUCUGAAGAACCGCGAUGUCAUUAAUUUGGUGUCGUGGGGAAUCAGGACUGUUACUUUGAAAAAAUUAGAGUGUUUAAAGCAGGCUUACGCUUGAAUACAUUAGCAUGGAAUAAUGAAGUAGGACGUUUGAUUCUAUUUUGUUGGUUUCUAGGAUCGACGUAAUGAUUAAUAGGGAUAGUUGGGGGCAUUAGUAUUCAAUUGUCAGAGGUGAAAUUCUUGGAUUUAUUGAAGACUAACUACUGCGAAAGCAUUUGCCAAGGAUGUUUUCAUUAAUCAAGAACGAAAGUUAGGGGAUCGAAGACGAUCAGAUACCGUCGUAGUCUUAACCAUAAACUAUGCCGACUAGGGAUCGGAUGAUGUUAAUUUUAUAAUGACUC